CCCUUAGAUGUUCUGGGCCGCACGCGCGCUACACUGACGAUGGCAACGAGUUUUUCCUUCGCCGAAAGGUGUGGGUAAUCUUUUGAAACAUCGUCGUGCUGGGGAUAGAUCAUUGCAAUUUUUGAUCUUGAACGAGGAAUUCCUAGUAAGCGCGAGUCAUCAACUCGCGUUGAUUACGUCCCUGCCCUUUGUACACACCGCCCGUCGCUACUACCGAUUGAAUGGUUUAGUGAGGACUCCUGAUUGGCGCCGCCGCCCCGGCAACGGAGCAGCGGACUGCCGAAAAGUUGUUCAAACUUGAUCAUUUAGAGGAAGUAAAAGUCGUAACA
rnacentral:rRNA from 1 species